GCUACAACGGGAUGAUUAGUUUAUAAGCAUCACACAAACACUUGUAAGACUAGGUUCUAAGUUCUAAUUCGAUGAAACUCGAAUCUUCAGCGCCAGAGCAAGAGAGAGAAUAGAAAUCUAUAUCAGCUUCUUGACGAUGAAUGCAGAAUCCAAUUUCUAAACUCGUUAUUCAUUUUCUUGGCCCAAUCUUGUUGAAACAAAAUUAGGGUUUGUAAGCCCUAUAAAGAUGACCCUGACCCUGAAAACGUAAAAAUGUGGUUGCCACUAUCUAGAUGGAUUAAUUAUUCAUCUGAAAAAAUAGGGUCUAUGAACCCUAUAUCCUUGAUCUUGUCCCUGAAAACGGAAAAGUUCGGUUGCUACUAUGAGAUGAAUUUUUUUAAUCAUCAUUUACAAAUUUGGUAUAUAAACCCUAUAAGAAUGGCCCUGUCCCUGAAUCGGAAAAGUGUGGUUGCCUCUAUGAGAUGAAAUUCUAUAUUCAUCAUCUGCAAAAUUUCAGGAUUUACGAAUGACUCUAUCCCUGAAAUCAGAAAACUGUGGCUGCCUCUAUGAGAUGAAAUUCUAUAUUCAUCAUCUGCAGAAUAUCAGUAUCAAAGAAUGGCCAUGUCCCUGAAAUCAGAAAAGUGUGGUUGCCUCUAUGUUGAAAUUCUAUAUUCAUCAUCUGCAGAAUAUCAGUAUAAAAGAAUGGCCAUGUCCCUGAAAUCAGAAAAGUGUGGUUGCCUCUAUGUUGAAAUUCUAUAUUCAUCAUCUGCAAAAUUUCAGUAUACAAGAAAGGCCAUGUCCCUGAAUUCAGAAAAGUGUGGUUGCCUCUGAGUUGAAAUUCUAUAUUCAUCAUCUGCAAAAUUUCAAUAUACAAGAAUGACCCUGACCCUGGCCCUGAAAUCGAAAAAGUGUGAUUGCCUCUAUGAGAUUGUUUCUUUAUUCAUCAUCUGCAAAAUUGGAGUAUAUGAAUCCUAUAUAAGAAUGACCCUGGUCAUGUAAUGAGAAAACUGUGGUUGCCUCUAUGAGAUGAAUUCUGUAUUAAUCACCUACGAAUUUUUGGUAUAUAAGAAUGACCCUAACCCUUAAAUUGAAAAACUGUGGUUGCUUCUGAGUUGGAUUCUUUAUUCAUCAUCUGCAAAAUUUGUUGUGGUCCCAUUUUUGUUCUCAUCUGUUGAUGGGUUUUUUGUCUGUUGAUGUUUGGGUCUGAGUGGGGAAAAAAAUGAGGCUUUUUAUAUUGCUAUUGUCUCCUCUUUGCUCUCACUCUAUACUCCGAUGAAUUGUCUUAUUCAAAUGAUAACUUCACUUUGAAGGCUCAAGCAUUUCCUAGCAACAUCAGUGUCUUUUCCCUUGAAUAUGUAGCAAGUUUGUCUUUAUGGAGACAUUUGAUUUGACUUUGAAGGCAAGUUAUCUUUCAACAUGCUUGGUUGAGUUUUUGGGUGCAACUGUUUUUUUUUCCUCUGUUUUCACCAACAUGGUUUACAACAACAAUAAAUUAGAUGUGAAAUUUGUGGGAGGAUGACAAUAUAGUGGUGGUUGUAGGAGUUUUCCUAUGUAUUUAUUUUUAGAUUAUUCUUAUGUGAUAUUCUUUAUUUGGAACAUCUCCUUAUGAUCCAGUGCAAUGUAAUAUUUUUACUUCUUUUCUUAGAAGACAAAAUAGAGGAGAAAACAAGUGAAUGGUGAAAACUCAGUAUGGAAUUAGGUUCAGCAGAAUCUAUAUACACAGGUUAGCCUUGCUGUGAAAUUUUGACCUUCUUGACUAUUUCUUUCUUAGAAGUUGACGUAGUUAAGAGGAGCUUACAAUCGUAGAAGAAUGUCCAAUGAUUGAAAGUGAAGCAUUCUGUCUCUCCCACCUUCUCUCUGCCAACAUGUUAUGUGCUAGUUGAAGAAACAACCUUUCCUUCCGCUCUUGCAUUUCACAUUCAUCUGGCUUAGGAUACAAUCAUACAACUUCUCUAAAUAUUGUGUUUUUCUUUUUCGCAGCAGGUUUCAAGAUACCUCAUCUACACUGUUGGAAUAUCGAACAUCUCUAGUGGAGCAUUCUAAUCUUUGCAUUGAAAUAUUGAACUGACUGUAGAAGUAACUGGUCACAAUGCCUAUGAGAUCAGGAACAAGAACCAGGACAAUACUAUGUAGAUUGAGAGCACGAAGUGCAAAGGUGAAUGGGUCUCAAAUAGUACUCGUAAUAAGGUGAAAGAGUUUCAGAUUUUUCUCUCUACACCACUUAGUGCAAAGGUGAAUGGGUUUCAAGCACUACUGGGAGUAAUAAGGUGGAAGAACUUGAGAAAGAUGUUGUGGAGUUCGUAAAGAAAACAAAAUUCUAGUUGCAAAAUUAAUUCUAGAAAUGGUUCGCAAUGAAGUGGAUUCAUGUAGACAGUGGGAGCUGGAUGGGACUGUUCUGUUCAGCACACCUGGCUAUAUAUGGAGUUAUACUCAGUAGCAGAUGGAAAAUACAUAUUUGAGAUUUGUCACUUUGUUUCGAUUCAAUCUUCAUAUGAAACUAUCGUAGAAGAUGAUACCACUCAUCAAAAUGUGGAUUGCAUGGAAACAACUUGGAAUUAUGAGUCUAGAGCAGGCCAGGGAGCAGUAUAUCAGUUUUCCACAAUAAAGCAUUCCUGAUUGGAUUGCAGAAAAUCCUUGUGUAAGUAUAUAUGGUUAACAAUACUAUUUUAAUUUGUUACCCUUUCCUAAAUUAAAAUAAGAUAUAUAUUUUAUUUGGUCUCGGUUGUAUAAUUGAUUUUUUCUUUUGACUAAUAGUCUAAUACCAUGUAACCUAACUCGUUUGUAUAAAUUAGGUUUUUGUUCUUUUGUAA